CAUUUUUGACAGGAAGCGCUUUUUAUGUUCCUAUCGGCUCACCGAGCAGUAGACAAUUCAAUACUUGCCGAAGAGACCCAUCAUUGCCUUAGGCCUAUCAUACUGUUUGGCUUAAUAGUAUUAAGAGUAUGUAAACAGUAUAUAGGUUAUACCUUCUUUUACCGUCAAGUUUGUUUAACAGUAUAUUGGACGUCUUGUCUGUCGUGUUGUUGGACUUCGGGUCAUCUUGUGAUAUGAGAGUAGACAGCCGAUGUUCUCGAUCUAAGUAGUACACGCAAACACCAGGGAUUUGGUGAGAGGGAAACAAGGCUUGCCGCAAAUAAAAACAAAUUAAAUUGUUGACAAAUCAAAAAAAGUGAAGU